rnacentral:rRNA from 1 species
UACGGAGGGUGCGAGCGUUGUCCGGAAUCAUUGGGCGUAAAGCGCGUGUAGGCGGUCCGGUAAGUCCGCUGUGAAAGUCGGGGGGCUCAACCCUCGGAUGCCGGUGGAUACUGUCGGGCUUGAGUACGGAAGAGGCGAGUGGAAUUCCUGGUGUAGCGGUGAAAAUGCGCAGAUAUCAGGAGGAACACCAAUUGCGAAGGCAGCUCGCUGGGACGUUACUGACGCUGAGACGCGAAAGCGUGGGGAGCAAACAGG